UACAGAGGGUGCGAGCGUUAAUCGGAAUUACUGGGCGUAAAGCGUGCGUAGACGGUUAUUUAAGUCGGGCGUGAAAGCCCCGGGCUCAACCUGGGAAUGGCGAUGGAUACUGGCUCGCUAGAGUGCGGUAGAGGAGAGUGGAAUUCCCGGUGUAGCAGUGAAAUGCGUAGAGAUCGGGAGGAACACCAGUGGCGAAGGCGGCUUCCUGGACCAGCACUGACGCUGAUGCGCGAAAGCUAGGGGAGCAAACAGG
rnacentral:rRNA from 1 species